rnacentral:lncRNA from 1 species
CCCUGGCUAAAGUUUUGCUAAAUUGAAACACGACUGUACACAGCUCCUAAACUAGAGUGGUCAAUCCCAUCUUGACACACGCAUCGACAAGUUAAGUACUUGACUACACCCAGCAGCCUUCCGUCACUGAAUUAGAAAUUCAGGUAGUCCAGUGCCUAAGUGCAGUGAGUUACUGCCAAAUCAUCAUGGCGGUCUUAGGUCGGAGGGACAUUUAUAAC